AGAGUCCCACCCGGCCAAGGCUAGCCACCAGCCGGUAGCGAGUCUUGCAUGGCGUCGGGCGACCGCCGCUGCGAAGCGUAGACAGCGAGCGAAUAGCCCGUGUGAUUGAGCACCGAAAUUAUUGUUUAUGUGACCGCUGACAGUCUUGCUUCCCUGGAAGGCAACAUUGACCCGCUCAACUGGUUUUGCGGGGAAAGGUCACCGGUGUCGGAGAGCA
rnacentral:ncRNA from 1 species